CACAACAUCUAUUCAAAAAGUUGCGAGCAUUUAAUGACGAAAAUCAUGUACUUGUAGUAUAAAACGACGAGCAUUCGAAAUAUCUUUGUAGGAAAUUAAUUCUACUUUUUGUAUCGUACAGUCAAAUAACAUUAUUUCCAUUAAACAUGGAUAAAAGAAAAAUGUCGACAGCAGGGGAUUCCCUGUACCAAAUAUUAGAAAUUCCAAAAACUGCCACUCCCGAAGAAAUAAAAAAAACUUACAGAAAAUUAGCAUUAAAAUAUCAUCCUGACAAAAAUCCAAAUAAUCCAGAAGCAACAGAAAAGUUUAAAGAAAUAAACAGAGCCCAUGCUAUAUUAACAGAUUUAACUAAACGAAAUAUAUACGACAAUUAUGGAUCUCUUGGAUUAUACGUUGCUGAACAAUUUGGUGAAGACAAUGUUAAUGCAUACUGUAUUAAUUGCCGUUGGUUCAAUGCACUCUUCCUGUUUUGUGCAUUGAUAACUGCAUGUUACUGCUGUUGCUGUUGCUGUUGUUGCUGCAACUUCUGUUGUGGCAAGUGUAAGCCUACACCGCCUGAAGAUAGUGGAGCGUACCAUAAUUUACAGUUGAUGCAUGCCGAUUUUGAAGAUGCUUUAACACGUAGAUCUCGAGAAAAAAAGCGGAACCAGAGGACAGGUGACAAUGUCGUGACAACACAACCCACAGCCCCGGCCAAGGAAGAAGAAAGUGAUGACGAUGCGAUUACAGCGCAACCUGGUGGACCUACAAAUAGUUCUACCGCCCAGCAACCAAUUUUUGCUAUGCCACCACCACCCACUACCGCCGACGAAAACACAAACUUAAACAGUGGUGCUGACAGAGUUAUUUACACAACUGGAAACAUAGAAAAGGACAAUAACUUUGUUCAUAAAAAAUGAACAGUUAGUCGAUGUGCUAACAUUCAUAUAGGAAACUGAAGUGUUACAAUGCUAUGCAUAGCACUUGAUUUGGUGUAUGUGUGCCAUUUUUAUGCACAAUCCCAAAUUACUGUCAUCGAAAUUGUAGAUGCCAGAUAUAAGACAAAAUGGCGUCGUAUAAAAACUUCAUAUAAAAUUAAAUUACUUUUUACAAAAGUAAUUAUUUAUUAUUAUUAUGCGAUUUUAUUUGAUCAAUAUUACACGCAUCUAGGUCCAUUUUAUUAUAUUAGGUCGAGUCAUAAGUAACUUCCGAUGCAGCUAAAUAGAUUUUAUAUUGUGUAUUAUGGUGAGAUUAUGAAGGUAUAAGUCACCACGAGUUGUUGAAGUCAAAUUUAACGAUUACUGCGGAUAAAUACAUUCAGCAAUUGCAAAGAGUGCAAGAGAAACUCCUAGAAAAGCGCCCUGCACUCGUCAAUCGCAGAAAUAUCAUUCUUUUACACGACAACGCGCGACCGCAUACAGCAAGGGUGACUCAAGAAAAAAUUCUUGAGCUUGGAUGGUCUGGUUUACCACAUCCACCUUACUCCUCAGAUCUUGCCCCGACAGACUACCACCUUUUCUGUUCCUUACAAAACUUUUUAAAUGGAAAAACCUUCAAUUCUGAAGAGCAAGUCAGGCAGGCUGUUGAAAGCUUCUUCCAGUCCAAACCAACCACAUUUUACAAGGAAGGAAUUGAUAAACUACCAGGAAAAUGGGAGAAGGUUAUAGAAAAUAGUGGCGAAUA